rnacentral:rRNA from 1 species
AGUCGACGGGGAUACGAGAGCUUGCUUUUGUAUCUUAGUGGCGGACGGGCGAGUAACGCGUGAGCAACCUGCCCUUCAGUGGGGAAUAACGUCUGGAAACGGACGCUAAUACCGCAUAACACAACGGAGCCGCAUGGCUUUGUUGUCAAAGGAUUUAUUCGCUGAAGGAUGGGCUCGCGUCCGAUUAGCUAGAUGGUGGGGUAAAGGCUCACCAUGGCGACGAUCGGUAGCCGAACUGAGAGGUUGAUCGGCCGCAUUGGGACUGAGACACGGCCCAGACUCCUACGGGAGGCAGCAGUGGGGGAUAUUGCACAAUGGGGGAAACCCUGAUGCAGCAAUGCCGCGUGAGGGAAGAAGGUCUUCGGAUUGUAAACCUAAGUAGCCAGGGACGAUAUUGACGGUACCUGGAGAGUAAGCUCCGGCUAACUACGUGCCAGCAGCCGCGGUAAUACGUAGGGAGCGAGCGUUGUCCGGAUUUACUGGGUGUAAAGGGUGCGUAGGCGGGAUGGCAAGUCAGAUGUGAAAUACCGGGUCUUAACCCCGGGGCUGCAUUUGAAACUGUCGUUCUUGAGUGAAGUAGAGGCAGGCGGAAUUCCUAGUGUAGCGGUGAAAUGCGUAGAUAUUAGGAGGAACACCAGUGGCGAAGGCGGCCUGCUGGGCUUUAACUGACGCUGAGGCACGAAAGCAUGGGGAGCAAACAGGAUUAGAUACCCUGGUAGUCCAUGCCGUANACGAUGAUUGCNAGGUGUGGGGGGACUGACCCCUUCCGUGCCGGAGUAAACACAAUAAGCAAUCCACCUGGGGAGUACGGCCGCAAGGCUGAAACUCAAAGGAAUUGACGGGGGCC